GAUGAACGCUGGCGGCGUGCCUAAUACAUGCAAGUCGAGCGAACGGACGAGAAGCUUGCUUCUCUGAUGUUAGCGGCGGACGGGUGAGUAACACGUGGAUAACCUACCUAUAAGACUGGGAUAACUUCGGGAAACCGGAGCUAAUACCGGAUAAUAUUUUGAACCGCAUGGUUCAAAAGUGAAAGACGGUCUUGCUGUCACUUAUAGAUGGAUCCGCGCUGCAUUAGCUAGUUGGUAAGGUAACGGCUUACCAAGGCAACGAUGCAUAGCCGACCUGAGAGGGUGAUCGGCCACACUGGAACUGAGACACGGUCCAGACUCCUACGGGAGGCAGCAGUAGGGAAUCUUCCGCAAUGGGCGAAAGCCUGACGGAGCAACGCCGCGUGAGUGAUGAAGGUCCUCGGAUCGUAAAACUCUGUUAUUAGGGAAGAACAUAUGUGUAAGUAACUGUGCACAUCUUGACGGUACCUAAUGAGAAAGCCACGGCUAACUACGUG
rnacentral:rRNA from 1 species